CUAAAGAAAGCAGUAGAUCACCAGGCUAUAGAAAGUAGAAAAUUUUUCUAUGCAUGCAAAUAAAGAAAUUUAGAUAUAAAAUAGUAAAUCUACCAUAUACGAAAAGCAAUAUGAGGCAGAAAUUUUUUAAAAAAAAUAAAUAGAAGGUAAUUAAGUAAUUAAAAUAAAUUAACUAACAAUAAAAGACAAACUACUAAUCAGCAAAGUAAAGUAUGGAAAGCAAGAGUA
rnacentral:lncRNA from 1 species